AUUGAACGCUGGCGGCAUGCCUUACACAUGCAAGUCGAACGGUAACAGGCAGCUUGCUGCGCUGACGAGUGGCGAACGGGUGAGUAAUAUAUCGGAACAUACCCUAGAGUGGGGGAUAACUAGUCGAAAGACUAGCUAAUACCGCAUACGAACUAAGGUUGAAAGUGGGGGAUCUUCGGACCUCAUGCUCAUGGAGUGGCCGAUAUCUGAUUAGCUAGUUGGUGAGGUAAAGGCUCACCAAGGCAUCGAUCAGUAGCUGGUCUGAGAGGACGACCAGCCACACUGGAACUGAGACACGGUCCAGACUCCUACGGGAGGCAGCAGUGGGGAAUUUUGGACAAGUGGGGGCAACCCUGAUCCAGCAAUGCCGCGUGAGUGAAGAAGGCC
rnacentral:rRNA from 1 species